UACAGAGGUCUCAAGCGUUGUUCGGAUUCAUUGGGCGUAAAGGGUGCGUAGGCGGCGCGGUAAGUCGGGUGUGAAAUCUCGGAGCUUAACUCCGAAACUGCAUUCGAUACUGCCGUGCUUGAGGACUGGAGAGGAGACUGGAAUUUACGGUGUAGCGGUGAAAUGCGUAGAUAUCGUAAGGAAGACCAGUGGCGAAGGCGGCCUCCUGGAUCGAUACUGACGCUGAGGCGCGAAAGCGUGGGGAGCAAACAGG
rnacentral:rRNA from 1 species